UACGUAGGGGGCAAGCGUUUGUUCGGAAUUACUGGGCGUAAAGGGCGCGUAGGCGGCACAGCAAGUCGGGAGUGAAAGCCCGGGGCUCAACCCCGGAAUGGCUUUCGAAACUGCUGAGCUAGAGUACAGAAGGGGCAACCGGAAUUCCCAGUGUAGCGGUGAAAUGCGUAGAUAUUGGGAAGAACACCUGAGGCGAAGGCGGGUUGCUGGGCUGAUACUGACGCUGAGGCGCGAAAGCCAGGGGAGCAAACGGG
rnacentral:rRNA from 1 species